CACGGGGGGAGCAAGCGUUGUUCGGAAUCACUGGGCGUAAAGGGCGUGUAGGCGGUCAAGUAAGUGGAAUGUGAAACGCCUCGGCUUACCCGAGGACCUGCAUCCCAAACUGCUUGGCUUGAGUAUGGGAGAGGAUGAGGGAAUUCCUGGUGUAGCGGUGAAAUGCGUAGAUAUCAGGAGGAACACCGGUGGCGAAGGCGCACAUCUGGCCCAAUACUGACGCUGAGGCGCGAAAGCUAGGGGAGCAAACGGG
rnacentral:rRNA from 1 species